UACGUAGGGUGCGAGCGUUAAUCGGAAUUAUUGGGCGUAAAGGGUGCGUAGGCGGUUUGGUAAGUCUGAUGUGAAAUCUAUGGGCUCAACUCAUAGUCUGCAUCGGAAACUGCCGGGCUUGAGUGUGGGAGAGGUGAGUGGAACUCCUGGUGUAGCGGUGAAAUGCGUAGAUAUCAGGAGGAACACCUGUGGCGAAAGCGGCUCACUGGACCAUAACUGACGCUGAUGCACGAAAGCUAGGGGAGCAAACAGG
rnacentral:rRNA from 1 species